CCUACGGGGGGCAGCAGUGGGGAAUAUUGGACAAUGGGGGCAACCCUGAUCCAGCCAUGCCGCGUGUGUGAAGAAGGCCCUCGGGUUGUAAAGCACUUUCAGUGAGGAAGAACGCCUGGUGGUUAAUACCCAUCAGGAAAGACAUCACUCACAGAAGAAGCACCGGCUAACUCCGUGCCAGCAGCCGCGGUAAUACGGAGGGUGCGAGCGUUAAUCGGAAUUACUGGGCGUAAAGCGCGCGUAGGUGGCUUGAUAAGCCGGUUGUGAAAGCCCCGGGCUCAACCUGGGAACGGCAUCCGGAACUGUCAAGCUAGAGUGCAGGAGAGGAAGGUAGAAUUCCCGGUGUAGUGGUGAAAUGCGUAGAGAUCGGGAGGAAUACCAGUGGCGAAGGCGGCCUUCUGGACUGACACUGACACUGAGGUGCGAAAGCGUGGGUAGCAAACAGGAUUAGAUACCCCGGUAGUC
rnacentral:rRNA from 1 species